rnacentral:rRNA from 1 species
GAUUGAACGCUGGCGGCAGGCCUAACACAUGCAAGUCGAACGGUAGCACAGAGAGCUUGCUCUCGGGUGACGAGUGGCGGACGGGUGAGUAAUGUCUGGGAAACUGCCCGAUGGAGGGGGAUAACUACUGGAAACGGUAGCUAAUACCGCAUAACGUCUUCGGACCAAAGUGGGGGACCUUCGGGCCUCACACCAUCGGAUGUGCCCAGAUGGGAUUAGCUAGUAGGUGGGGUAAUGGCUCACCUAGGCGACGAUCCCUAGCUGGUCUGAGAGGAUGACCAGCCACACUGGAACUGAGACACGGUCCAGACUCCUACGGGAGGCAGCAGUGGGGAAUAUUGCACAAUGGGCGCAAGCCUGAUGCAGCCAUGCCGCGUGUAUGAAGAAGGCCUUCGGGUUGUAAAGUACUUUCAGCGGGGAGGAAGGCGAUGGAGUUAAUAGCUUCAUCGAUUGACGUUACCCGCAGAAGAAGCACCGGCUAACUCCGUGCCAGCAGCCGCGGUAAUACGGAGGGUGCAAGCGUUAAUCGGAAUUACUGGGCGUAAAGCGCACGCAGGCGGUCUGUCAAGUCGGAUGUGAAAUCCCCGGGCUUAACCUGGGAACUGCAUUCGAAACUGGCAGGCUAGAGUCUUGUAGAGGGGGGUAGAAUUCCCAGGUGUAGCGGUGAAAUGCGUAGAGAUCUGGAGGAAUACCGGUGGCGAAGGCGGCCCCCUGGACAAAGACUGACGCUCAGGUGCGAAAGCGUGGGGAGCAAACAGGAUUAGAUACCCUGGUAGUCCACGCCGUAAACGAUGUCGACUUGGAGGUUGUGCCCUUGAGGCGUGGCUUCCGGAGCUAACGCGUUAAGUCGACCGCCUGGGGAGUACGGCCGCAAGGUUAAAACUCAAAUGAAUUGACGGGGGCCCGCACAAGCGGUGGAGCAUGUGGUUUAAUUCGAUGCAACGCGAAGAACCUUACCUACUCUUGACAUCCAGCGAAUUCGGUAGAGAUACCUUAGUGCCUUCGGGAACGCUGAGACAGGUGCUGCAUGGCUGUCGUCAGCUCGUGUUGUGAAAUGUUGGGUUAAGUCCCGCAACGAGCGCAACCCUUAUCCUUUGUUGCCAGCGGUCCGGCCGGGAACUCAAAGGAGACUGCCAGUGAUAAACUGGAGGAAGGUGGGGAUGACGUCAAGUCAUCAUGGCCCUUACGAGUAGGGCUACACACGUGCUACAAUGGCGCAUACAAAGAGAAGCGACCUCGCGAGAGCAAGCGGACCUCAUAAAGUGCGUCGUAGUCCGGAUUGGAGUCUGCAACUCGACUCCAUGAAGUCGGAAUCGCUAGUAAUCGUAGAUCAGAAUGCUACGGUGAAUACGUUCCCGGGCCUUGUACACACC